UCCUGAGCGCUCGGAGCGGGGGGCGCUGGCAGCUGCGUACGGAGCCCGGGGGAGGCCCGCGAGGCCUUCCCAGAGGAGACUCCUAGGCUUCACGAAGGUCACCCGGCGCGGUCCCCGGUCGGACCCUUAGGGAGAUUUCGCGCCCGAAUUGGCCUAAAGGCGGGGUGCGAGGUAAGCGAAGUUGAGUUUUAGCAGCCUUCGGUUCAAAAGGUGCAUUUUUCGGGGUCUCAGAAUGUCUUACUCUGGACACCCCCUCCUGGCUUGCACCAGCUCUGGGCCUUCCCAACCUCCGUGCCCUAAACACAAUUUAAGACCUUUUGGUUCGCAGGACCACGCUGUGUCUCUCCCCUCACGCCCCGCCCCUCUCCUUUCUCCAGCCCUUACGACUGAGUCAUCGCAGUCUAGGCUCAUCCUUGGUCCUUGCCAGCUGCAAAUCCUGCCUGCAAACUGUGCUUAAAGCCAGCCUUUCCUUUCCAAGUAGGCCCAGCAAUGAGAAUUGGCCAAGAGGUAAGACGUCUCAGGGAAGAUACAAGCUCCACAGUAAACAUAUGGGUGUAUGCAUUGUGCAUUGAAGGCAGUUUCUAUCACCUUUCCGAACCCCUUUUCUAGGAUCUGUCCACAGAACGGUUUUGAACUCUUCUGGAGAAAAAAGUGAUCCUGGUCACCCACAUACUGGACCUGGAAUAAAUACAUGUGAACUUGCUCACUUCCCUUCACUAGAACAAAUACAUCUGACCAAGGCCACUGUCAAGGGGUUGAAGAAGUGUAAUCUUUCCCUAAGAGGGACAGCAAAA